rnacentral:rRNA from 1 species
AUUGAAUGCUGGCGGCAUGCCUUACACAUGCAAGUCGAACGGCAACAGGUCUUCGGAUGCUGACGAGUGGCGAACGGGUGAGUAAUACAUCGGAACGUGCCUAGUAGUGGGGGAUAACUACUCGAAAGAGUGGCUAAUACCGCAUGAGAUCUACGGAUGAAAGCAGGGGAUCGCAAGACCUUGUGCUACUAGAGCGGCCGAUGGCAGAUUAGGUAGUUGGUGGGAUAAAAGCUUACCAAGCCGACGAUCUGUAGCUGGUCUGAGAGGGCGAUCAGCCACACUGGGACUGAGACACGGCCCAGACUCCUACGGGAGGCAGCAGUGGGGAAUUUUGGACAAUGGGCGAAAGCCUGAUCCAGCAAUGCCGCGUGCAGGAUGAAGGCCUUCGGGUUGUAAACUGCUUUUGUACGGAACGAAAAGCCCCGGGUUAAUACCCUGGGGUCAUGACGGUACCGUAAGAAUAAGCACCGGCUAACUACGUGCCAGCCGCCGCGGUAA